GUGGGGAAUUUUGGACAAUGGGCGCAAGCCUGAUCCAGCAAUGCCGCGUGCAGGAAGAAGGCCUUCGGGUUGUAAACUGCUUUUGUACGGAACGAAACGGUCCUGGUUAAUACCUGGGGCUAAUGACGGUACCGUAAGAAUAAGCACCGGCUAACUACGUGCCAGCAGCCGCGGUAAUACGUAGGGUGCGAGCGUUAAUCGGAAUUACUGGGCGUAAAGCGUGCGCAGGCGGUGCUGUAAGACAGGCGUGAAAUCCCCGGGCUCAACCUGGGAAUUGCGCUUGUGACUGCAGUGCUGGAGUACGGCAGAGGGGGAUGGAAGUCCGCGUGUAGCAGUGAAAUGCGUAGAUAUGCGGAGGAACACCGAUGGCAAAGGCAGUCCCCUGGGCCUGUACUGACGCUCAUGCACGAAAGCGUGGGGAGCAAACAGGAUUAGAAACCCCGGUAGUCC
rnacentral:rRNA from 1 species